UGUUUCGGCAAGGGGGUCAUCCCGACUUACCAACCCGAUGCAAACUGCGAAUACCGGAGAAUGUUAUCACGGGAGACACACGGCGGGUGCUAACGUCCGUCGUGAAGAGGGAAACAACCCAGACCGCCAGCUAAGGUCCCAAAGUCAUGGUUAAGUGGGAAACGAUGUGGGAAGGCCCAGACAGCCAGGAUGUUGGCUUAGAAGCAGCCAUCAUUUAAAGAAAGCGUAAUAGCUCACUGGUCGAGUCGGCCUGCGCGGAAGAUGUAACGGGGCUAAACCAUGCACCGAAGCUGCGGCAGCGACACUAUGUGUUGUUGGGUAGGGGAGCGUUCUGUAAGCCUGUGAAGGUGUACUGUGAGGUAUGCUGGAGGUAUCAGAAGUGCGAAUGCUGACAUAAGUAACGAUAAAGCGGGUGAAAAGCCCGCUCGCCGGAAGACCAAGGGUUCCUGUCCAACGUUAAUCGGGGCAGGGUGAGUCGACCCCUAAGGCGAGGCCGAAAGGCGUAGUCGAUGGGAAACAGGUUAAUAUUCCUGUACUUGGUGUUACUGCGAAGGGGGGACGGAGAAGGCUAUGUUGGCCGGGCGACGGUUGUCCCGGUUUAAGCGUGUAGGCUGGUUUUCCAGGCAAAUCCGGAAAAUCAAGGCUGAGGCGUGAUGACGAGGCACUACGGUGCUGAAGCAACAAAUGCCCUGCUUCCAGGAAAAGCCUCUAAGCAUCAGGUAACAUCAAAUCGUACCCCAAACCGACACAGGUGGUCAGGUAGAGAAUACCAAGGCGCUUGAGAGAACUCGGGUGAAGGAACUAGGCAAAAUGGUGCCGUAACUUCGGGAGAAGGCACGCUGAUAUGUAGGUGAAGUCCCUCGCGGAUGGAGCUGAAAUCAGUCGAAGAUACCAGCUGGCUGCAACUGUUUAUUAAAAACACAGCACUGUGCAAACACGAAAGUGGACGUAUACGGUGUGACGCCUGCCCGGUGC
rnacentral:rRNA from 1 species